rnacentral:misc_RNA from 1 species
UAACAAGGUUUCCGUAGGUGAACCUGCGGAAGGAUCAUUGUCGAUGCCUGCCCAGCAGAACGACCCGCGAACUCGUGAAUGCUCUUGGGGGGGUCCGGUGCGGGUCGCUCGAGCUCCGCGAGCUCGGGCUGCCUUACCCGGCCCCCGCCCGUCGCGGGGGACGAGCCCCGUCUCGUUCCCCGCGGCGGAACAACAAACCCCGGCGCGAGCUGCGCCAAGGAAAAUCCAACGAGGGAGCACGCCGCCGCCGCCCCGGAAACGGUGCGCGUGCGGGACGCGUCGCCUUCUUGAAACGAAAAUACGAAACGACUCUCGGCAACGGAUAUCUCGGCUCUCGCAUCGAU